rnacentral:ncRNA from 2 species
GAUGUUCUUCGGGGUAGGGUGAAAUUCCCAAUCGGCGGUGAUGAAGCAAUUCAAAGUCCGUGAGCGCAAGCUGAUUUGGUGCAAAUCCAAAACCGACAGUGAUAGUCUGGAUGGGAGAAGAACAAA